ensembl:lincRNA
AAAAAAAAAAAAAAAAAAAAAAAAAAAAAAAGAGACGGAAGGGGUUGACUGUGGUAGGAGCUGAGAGCUAAAAGGGCAGAUGGCGUUGCUGGGGCUCAAAGCUGGGGAUGGAGGAGAACGGAUGGGGGUGGGGUGGGCGAUGAUCUGGGUGUCCGGAUGAACAUAAAGGGGUCACCAGGUGCCUGGCAUUUACAGCCACAUUUAGUAACACGUGAGGCGAGGGGUCACCAGCGAGGGGAGGGAAAGGAACGACGAGAAGGAGCCACUCUGCAGCCACAUCUGAAGAACUCUGCCGAGGACGGCCCCCUGCUUUGCACCUGGGAGACGGUAGAGUCCGGGUGUGCGUUGAAUUUUUAGCUAUGAGUCCUGAAGCUGCCCAGCGCUGGUCACAGCUUUGGUAACAAGACUGACUUUCUUCCUACUUUCCUGCUCAUAAGUCUUGUAAUCCUGCCUGAGAGUUCUUGCCUAAGGGAAACGCCAAGCAAGGGCUCUGCUGCGCUGGCCUUCACUUCCGGUGCCGCGCACCCUCAGCUCCCGGCCAUCACGGUGCGGAGGAGCCCCACGCCCGCGCCCCCGAGCCCUCUCUCGUCCUAGGCCCUGGAAGCCCUGGUAUCAAGGAGAACUGCACCAGUGUGCUGACUUUCUGAAUGGCUCAGAACCCAGAGGAACUCACUGAGCUCCGCGUGCCUUUCUUGAACCGAGUCUGUAUCUGGUACAUGGCAGAACCUUCAGAAAUGGUCAUAAUCAUAAAGCUAUGGGAGCAACAGCUUUACAGUGAGUUGAACUUCAUUCAUGUGGAGGAAGGGGAGGAAGCAAGAAAGAGAAAAAGAAGAAGGAGAAGAAGAAGAAGAAAGAAGAGGAGAAGUGGCUUUCUACAAUUUGCUUCUAUAGAAGAUGCCCUUGUCUAAGUGAGCCAGGGCUUGCUAAUAAACUACAUUGUUGCUAAACCUGUUUGAAUUAUCAUGGGUUUCUUGUUCCUUUCACAUUAGAUUUCAAUUAAAAUACAGGACAUCAGCUCAGUAUUGAUAACUGAAAACCUGAUCUAAUUAUCAUAAAAAAAUCAUGUUUUUGUCUUUUUGGAGACAGGGUCUCGCUAUGCAGUUCAGGCUGGCCUUGAGCUCACUUUGUAGCCCAGGCUGGUCUUGAACUUGCAACGAUCCUCCUGCCUCAGCCUCCCAAAUGCUGGGAUUACACGCAUGCACCACCACGCCCGACCUAAAAUCACGUUUUAAACCAGCACUCCGGUUCUCUAUUCUGUUGCUCUGAGCCAUUUAUUUUUUGUUGCUCUUUAAAGUUGCUAUUUAAACACACUUCUUUGUCAUAUGCUGAUAAAUAUUAAAAUAACAGGAAAAAUCUGCCUGGCUUAUUUAAGCUGAUAAUAAGAACAAAACACGGGAUGUGUCUCCUCCUUCCUUUUCUGACUGUGGUUAAACGUUAAGAAGAUUUUGAAACCCAUAAUUACGUAAUAAUUGGUAUCGCUGCAUUCUCUUCCCAGUGAAAAGCCAGGAGUUUUGUAGUUUGCCACAAAGACAGACAAAAAACAAAUUGCCUAAGUGGUAUUGUCAUUUCUUCACUCUAUUGUUUUAAAGAAAUUAGCAAAAGAACCUCUAGUUGCCAAGCUAUAGUGAUUGUGCCA